rnacentral:lncRNA from 1 species
CCAACUCAUCAGGAUUGAGAUAAAAAUUUAUAUGUAUCAUCCCUAUCCAACUCUUUUGCUUGUGGGAUACAGUUUUCAAUCCUAGGAACACUAGAACUCUAAAUACUAAUUUGUCCUAUAUAUCCCGAAGUCAAAGUUAUUCGUCACAGAAAACAAGAAAGAAAAAAAGAGGGGUAGAGAGAGAGAGAGAUCAUAAACAAUUCCAUACAAAUUUUACAUACAAGACAAAGAGAGAGUACUUUUAGAGGAAGAAAGCAAGCUGGUUUUCAAUCAAGAAAUUCAGAAGUUUGGAACUUGCAUUCAUAUUUAUUUCGAUUCUUUAAAUAACAAGGUAAGAUAUUUUAUGUGCAAAUGUUUUGUGUUUCCUUAUGCCUUUAUAUUCAAUUAAAUACGCAUGGAUUGCCAGUGGACUUUUUUUUAAGAGAGAUGAAAUCCUAGGGAUUAUAAGAGGACCUAAGAUGCGUGUGUCACUUGGUCACCGAUAUACUUUAUAAGAUCAGAAUGGUAUGAAAUGUAUAAUUUUAUUGUUAUAUAUUUGUGUAUGAAAGCUGCGCGUAUCUUACUGGGUGUUUUCAAAUACUCACUCUUACAAAUUUUUAUAGGUUAGUUCGGGUAGAUUGGAAUGGUGGCGAAAUGGUGAUGCAGACUGCCAAGUGGAUUAAAGGAAAAGAAAAAGAAAUAAGUUUGUCG